GAUGAACGCUGGCGGCGUGCCUAAUACAUGCAAGUCGAGCGAACGGACGAGAAGCUUGCUUCUCUGAUGUUAGCGGCGGACGGGUGAGUAACACGUGGAUAACCUACCUAUAAGUCUGGGAUAACUUCGGGAAACCGGAGCUAAUACUGGAUGAUAUUUUGAACCGCAUGGUUCAAAAGUGAAAGACGGUCUUGCUGUCACUUAUAGAUGGUUCCGCGCUGCAUUAGCUAGUUGGUAAGGUAACGGCUUACCAAGGCAACGAUGCAUAGCUGACCUGAGAGGGUGAUCAGCCACACUGGAACUGAGACACGGUCCAGACUCCUACGGGAGGCAGCAGUAGGGAAUCUUCCGCAAUGGGCGAAAGCCUGACGGAGCAACGCCGCGUGAGUGAUGAAGGUCUUCGGAUCGUAAAACUCUGUUAUUAGGGAAGAACAUAUGUGUAAGUAACUGUGCACGUCUUGACGGUACCUAAUCAGAAAGCCACGGCUAACUACGUG
rnacentral:rRNA from 1 species